rnacentral:rRNA from 1 species
CAGGAUGAACGUUGGCGGCGUGCUUAAUACAUGCNAGUCGAACGAAGACCGUAGUAAUACUGUCUUAGUGGCGAACGGGUGAGUAACGCGUGGGUGACNUGCCCCGAAGUGUGGGAUAACAGUUCGAAAGGACUGNUAAUACCGCAUAAUAUCCAAGAGAUUAGACGCUUUUGGAUUAAAGGAGUAAUUCGCUUCGGGAGGGGCCCGCGUCCCAUCAGCUAGUUGGUAAGGUAAUGGCNUACCAAGGCGAUGACGGGUAGGGGACCUGAGAGGGUGGCCCCCCACAAUGGAACUGAAACACGGUCCAUACNCCUACGGGUGGCAGCAGUAGGGAAUAUUAGUAAUGGGCGAAAGCCUGAACUAGCAACGCCGCGUGUGCGAAGAAGGCCUUCGGGUUGUAAAGCACUUUUUGAGAGGAUGAGGAAGGAC